rnacentral:lncRNA from 1 species
UAUCCUUCUUUGCCUCACGUUUCAUAAGCGACUGAUAGAACUCAACCAGCUCAGGAGCACGGUGCACUUUAUCACCACCUCCUGCGCCCCUUGGCAAGCUUCCUGGUGGAGGAGGUGGACGAGGUGGUCCACCAGGUGGUGGAGGAGGUGGUGGUGGGCCACCUGGUGGAGGAGGUGGUGGUGGUAUCCCACUUGAGGGAGCUGGAGUUGAACUAGUAGGGGCACCUCCAGAUUUUGGAGGUGGCCUAGGCACCCUAGGAGGUCUCUUCUCAAUUUGAGCUAGUUUCAUCUUGCUUAUUUCUUGAGGAUCGAAAGCCUUACCA